CUAGCGGCAGGCUUAACACAUGCAAGUCGAGGGGGUAGAGGAAGCUUGCUUCCUUGAGACCGGCGCACGGGUGCGUAACGCGUAUGCAAUCUACCUUGUACAGGGGGAUAGCCCAGAGAAAUUUGGAUUAAUACCUCAUAGUGUAAUGAAAUGGCAUCAUUUUAUUACUAAAGUUCCAACGGUACAAGAUGAGCAUGCGUCCCAUUAGCUAGUUGGUGUGGUAACGGCAUACCAAGGCAACGAUGGGUAGGGGUCCUGAGAGGGAGAUCCCCCACACUGGUACUGAGACACGGACCAGACUCCUACGGGAGGCAGCAGUGAGGAAUAUUGGUCAAUGGGCGCAAGCCUGAACCAGCCAUGCCGCGUGCAGGAUGACGGUCCUAUGGAUUGUAAACUGCUUUUGUACAGGAGAGAAACACUCCCUCGUGAGGGAGCUUGACGGUACUGUAAGAAUAAGGAUCGGCUAACUCCGUGCCAGCAGCCGCGGUAAUACGGAGGAUCCAAGCGUUAUCCGGAAUCAUUGGGUUUAAAGGGUCCCGUAGGCNGGUUUUAUAAGUCAGUGGUGAAAUCUGGUCGCUCAACGAUCAAACGGCCAUUGAUACUGUAGAACUUGAAUUACUUGGAAGUAACUAGAAUAUGUA
rnacentral:rRNA from 1 species